rnacentral:rRNA from 1 species
UCCUCCCUCUUUCUUCGUGCUUAACACAUGCAAGUCGAACGGAAAGGCUCCAGCUUGCUGGAGUACUCGAGUGGCGAACGGGUGAGUAACACGUGGGUAAUCUGCCCUGCACUCUGGGAUAAGCCUGGGAAACUGGGUCUAAUACUGGAUAUGACCUUUCUCCUUAUGGGGUUUGGUGGAAAGUUUUUCGGUGUAGGAUGAGCCCGCGGCCUAUCAGCUUGUUGGUGGGGUGAUGGCCUACCAAGGCGACGACGGGUAGCCGGCCUGAGAGGGUGAUCGGCCACAUUGGGACUGAGAUACGGCCCAGACUCCUACGGGAGGCAGCAGUGGGGAAUAUUGCACAAUGGGCGGAAGCCUGAUGCAGCGACGCCGCGUGAGGGAUGACGGCCUUCGGGUUGUAAACCUCUUUCAGCAGGGACGAAGCGUAAGUGACGGUACCUGCAGAAGAAGCACCGGCUAACUAGGUG